rnacentral:rRNA from 1 species
UACGUAGGGUCCGAGCGUUGUCCGGAAUUACUGGGCGUAAAGCGCGCGCAGGCGGCCCGCGAGGUGUCACGUGAAAGCCCCGGGCUCAACCCGGGAGGGUCGUGGCAAACCGGCGGGCUUGAGGCCGGUAGAGGUGGGUGGAAUUCCUGGUGUAGCGGUGAAAUGCGUAGAUAUCAGGAGGAACACCGGUGGUGUAGACGGCUCUCUGGACCGUAACUGACGCUGAGGCACGAAAGCGUGGGUAGCAAACAGG